AGCUUCCGUUCCGACAGCUCUCGGGGGCCGCGGUAGCCCACGAAGGGUUGCUGGCUUACCACCUUGGUCAGCAGCAGCCCCGGCUCCCCUGGGGUAGGAGCAGGAACAAGAACCCCUGGAGCCCACCAGCCAAGCCCCCUGCUGGAGGUUUUCAACAACGGUGGACUCUUCAUCACCCAGCACCCUGCCAAGGACAGACCCAAAGACACAGACAGGGAGAUCCAGAGAUGAGAGAGACAUUCAGAGACCUUGAGAGACUGCGACAAGCGACACAGAAAAUGAGAGAGAAGUAUAGAGAAGGCGGUAUGGGGAGCCCAUGAGAAACAGGAAAAGGAUAACAAGGGAUGGAAGACGGACAGACAAAUGGCAGUGAGAAUAGAUAUGACCAGGACCUUGCAAGGCCCUGGGAGAAGACACUAACAGAAGGUACAGGACAAGGGACCAAUGGCUGGAAUGCCGUCUUCCACAGAAAGCUCAAGAGAACAAAUCAGAUGGACACCCAGAGACCCAGUAAAUCAGAGCAAGAGAUCAAGGCAGGGGAGCUGGACAGAGCCGAGAAGCUGAGGCGGAGGCCCCAGAUGGUGCCCCACGCCGACACUUACUCCCGUGGUCCUGUAGACUGGAGGGAUCCUCAGAAGUGGGCUUACCGAGAUCUAAGCAGCCGAGGAUCCCAACGACAAGUCCCAUCACGUGGUACAGAGGCAGGACCGUGUAAACCA
rnacentral:lncRNA from 1 species